CCGCCGCCUCCCCGGGAGGCGCCUUUACCUCAGGGCUUUCGCUUCCCCGCGCCUCGGGGCCGGCAGAACGAGACGGCGGUGGAAGCGGCCGAGGCAUCAGCCGGCGACGGACGAUCCCACCCCCCACCCCCCAGCUCCAGCCUUUCUGGUGUCUCGGUGUGACACAUGCGAGGUGCCUCCCGGUCUGUCGGUGCCCCAUCGCUCCUGCUAACGAGCGCUCUCGGGGCCGGGGAGGGGGGGAGCGGGGAAGCAAUGCAGACUUGGCUGUAAUCGUGUCACUUUUAUCCCCCCCUCCCCCCGCCCUGGGUUAGUUAAAACCCAAAAAAGGCACUACGCUUUAACGCCCCCCAAGUACCCCGUCACGUAUGAUUUGUGUGGCUACGGUGCUUUCACCCUCUUACUUCUUCCCUCAAAUAACUCACCCUGUUUGUGGGAUUGUUUGGGGGCUCUUUUUUGCUCCUUUAAAAAUCCCCAAGAACCCUAGUUAUUUCAACUCCCAAAACUCUUUAACACUCCCGUUUGCAGAGAAAAAAAUAAAAAAAUAAAAAAAUCCCCUCUAAGUGCUAUAGACACACCACGCAACCGUACUUACGGUCUGUAUUGGAUCGAGUUGACCUUUUCCUUCUAACUGCAUUGAGUGUGUUUUUGUUGCAGCCGCUUUUUAUUUUAGGAAAAAAAAUUCUAAUGUCUUCAACAGAUUUAUUGUGUUUGGAGAAGAGAGCACCAGUCAAAAUUUCCGGCAAGAAGUCAAAGCGUGGCAUUUACGAUGUCCUGCACACCCAUGACAGGGUGACAAAAUACCUCUCUGGAUGUCGUCCAGCUGAGCAAACCACGCGCGUCAGCGUUCCCGCGUUGCAGGCUUCCCAUCAAAGGAGCGAUUAGUGGAGAGGUACCAGAGGCGCAAACCCCUGUCACACCCGGCUUUGGUGCGGGGACUUUGUGGAAGGUAAAACAAGACUAGUGGGAGUAAAAACCGCCCGUGGCGCGGCACCUGACUGCACUAUGGCCAGCAGGUCACUGUGACCAGGGGCCCUAGAAGAAAAGGCUGCUCUCCAGGUCCUGUGGGCCUCUCACGCCACGGGCAUUGGGGUCACCAAGUUAUGCUACCUUGGGAGGCCUUGAGGCUGCCCGGUCUGAGACUGCUCCGUUUCUCCUGUGUAAAAAUACUUCCCCUUCAGGGGCUGAUAAUGAAGGGUUUAUUAGCAGAAAUAUGUUCAUUUUCAAGGAGGCCCUUGAUCACAUUAAAUGUUUAAGCCAUUACAAAGGGGGGUGACGGGGGGGAAGGUAAGCUAGGAAAAAAAAGGAAAAGUCAUAGAAUGCGUGUAGCGCAAACAAGAAAUGCUGGGGUGUGAACAGUGAACACAUUCCUGCCCUCCCACCCAGAGAGUGGGACAAGGCAGAGAUAAUCGCAAGGAGGGCCUGCGAGCAGCCACUUCCCAGCCGGUGUGGUAGUGGAGACGGCUGCAGACACUGCCACCCUUCCCCCAGCAAGGGGACACUUAGGCCCAGCAUCUGCAAUUUGUGUAGGGGUGGGCUUGCAUAAUGUCACAAGGUACCGAAAAUCACAGUUUCCCGGGGGUAGCUCUGGAGUGAUGUCACUCACUGGUUAGCAAAAUUUUAAGAUCAGCAACACCAAGCUUUUGGUCUACUUAGUUGUGGAUCACUAUUCCUGUUUCCUUACAGUAUGUAUUUUUCAGAUUUAGGUAAUGGCCCUGAUUUUUUCAGUAUCGACCUCUGUUUAGACACGUUUCACUUUGGGCUGCUUCUUGUCUGCAAAAUUACAGUCAUUUUCACAUUAUUAUACAGUGAGUAGGAGACGGUUUGUAUUUAGUGUUGGGUGGGGGAAGGGGUAUUAUGGGAAGUGAUCUGCUACGGUCAGCAC
ensembl:lncRNA